GACGAACCGUGCGAACGUUGUUCGGAUUCACUGGGCUUAAAGGGCGCGUAGGCGGAUUGGCAAGUCCGGGGUGAAAUCUUUCAGCUUAACUGGAAAAGUGCCUUGGAUACUGCCAGUCUCGAGGGAGGUAGGGGUCUGCGGAACUUCUGGUGGAGCGGUGAAAUGCGUAGAUAUCAGAAGGAACGCCGGUGGCGAAAGCGGCGGACUGGACCUCUUCUGACGCUGAGGCGCGAAAGCUAGGGGAGCAAACGGG
rnacentral:rRNA from 1 species